UUCGCCAUCUACUAGAUGCCUGAAAUGGACUGACUGAUUGAUACCGGGUUUAUUACCCGGUCCACCACCUGGUUCGUAACCCAGUUCUCAAUCGUGCGUAAUGAGAUACGGUUUGGGAGUCCCCGCAGGAAAGUAGCAAGAUGUGUUCGCUUGAGGGAUUCUAUUAUUGUACAAGCCUUGUCUAGGAAAUUGCUUUGUAUAGGAAAUUGCCUUUGUAGAACGCGGCAAUAUUCUGUAGGUUGUCUGUUUCGGCGUCGCUGUGAAAAAGAACACGGAUAUGAUCAAACAAGUGGCCUUCGAUUGACAGAUAGCCCUUUCUCACACUCACUUUCGUAACGCAAUUUCUUUAAACCGUCAUAUUCUCUUCCCCGUUUUCAAACGUUUGAAGCCUGAGCUACAGUUGUUAAAGAAUUUGAAGUGCAUUUGAAAGAAUGCUGCAGAGGAAUAUUUUCCAUGGCGACAUCUGCAUCUUGCGUGAAGAAAGCACAAAUGAAAGAGAGUGAUGAAACUGAGAAGAGAAGUGAAGUCGUGGCGGUAGCGCCUCCGUGCAGCUUAUUUCCCCGAAUUCCGUCUCUCCAAAGUGUGAGCGGCGGUAGAUCAUCGAUGCACGCGUCGUGUGCGACUAACCAUGAGUUCGUGACGGUUAGUUGAUUUUUCUCAACUGGCGAGCCUGAUUUUGAUACAAUCGAUUGCAGAAUGCAAUGUCGAGGGCGUCACGAAUUUCUCCAUCACAUCGAGAAAAACCUGCAAGGUGUUGCACAUUUCGUUGGGAGACACGAACAACCGGCUGGAAGUCCAAUCACCAGGUCAUGAUUUUCAGAUUCUGUUACGAUGAAGGUUUUCGAGUUGAGAAUAGUAUCCGAGGACUGUGUCCUGAGGUAGCGAACAAGGAAUAGGCUCGGACUAUGAAUUAUUAUGGUCUUUGUUUAGCAUCUAGAAACGCAACAAGAGCAGUCUGCGAGUAGCUGGAUACGUUAAGCUGGUGUUGUUACGGACUAUUUAGUUUUCAUUUUCGCGUAGACGAAGUUCAAUACGAGCAAAAUUUAAACAACAUCGAUUUACUUUACUUUGUAGCUGUU